CCCCCUGGUGGCCUCUACCUGUCUUUUCUUCUGUCGGAGAUCUGAGUGGCUCACUGGAGGGACAGUAGGGAUGCAUGAGGCCGGGCGGCUUCCCCUGGGCUGGGGCC
rnacentral:lncRNA from 1 species